rnacentral:tRNA from 1 species
AAAGGUAUAGCUCAGUGGUAGAGCACAUAAGUAGCAUGUUCAAGGCCUGGGUUCAAUCUCCAGUACCUCCA